AAACAAAUGAAUUGCCCUGGGAAGAGAUGCUGAAGCACACAGGAGCAUCAGCUAUGGGGGAAAGCCCAUUUCCUAGCAGAAAUACAAAGUAAGAACUUUACAAAACUACUCACUGGAACAUGAGUGAUCUCUUUCACACUGAUAGGAAAAAAAAAGAAAAAAAAGAAAAGAAAAGUCCUUCAAGGAAAAGUUGUGUGGAAUUCAAGUUUUUAAGAUGAAAACAGCAAGAGUAGGCUUUAAUAUCAUGCAUUUAAACACUUUAAUUAAAAUGCAAAUUCAUCUACAGAGCAGAUGUAAAGAGAAAAGCUUUUGAGAAUAUGGAAUAUCUGAGAAAUCAUUAACCAACAUCACAGAACAUCAUAGAACAUUAGAUGCCUGCUACUGAAUUGGAAAUAUGUUCACCGUGAUGAAAAGAUUAUAAAUUAAAUCAGAUGGCUGCACCACCUAGUGUUUUAAUUUCCGGAAACCUCAUUCAGAAACACUUUCUCACUCUGAAUAAUAACUUCCAUCAUCAUCAAAGGACUAUUAAAUCCUUAGCUCCUCACCAAAGUAGUUUUUCUUAUGUCACGUUCUGUCAUCUGGUGACAUCUAAGCAACACCUCACCCUUCUUGGCCAUCCAUCUGUACCCAGCACUACAUCUCUCUAAUGUGCAAGGACAACUGCUUGUGACUUGCAGUCAAUCCAACUGGCAACUGAUCCAGCAAAAUAAACUGCUGUUCUAGGGAAGGUGAAGGGACAGCCCAGGCUGCAAGGCAAGCUGUGUUUCCUAAGGCACCUGAGCCUGUUUGCACAGCAGGGCACAAGACCUGCUCCCCACCAUUCUGUCAAACACUCCUGCUACUCAUUUUGACUUUGAAGUUCCAUACAAUAACAAGUGUAGCCAGACUUCCUGAGUUAUUUUCAAAGUGUAAGCAAUUUGCUUUGGAAGUUUAUUUAAUGUAAUAGCAAAGCCUGUAAUAACAUUUCUAUAUAUGUGACCACAAGCACAGGCAUGAAUUCUUAGUGUUUGAUCAAGCUGAGUGUUGAGCACAUUUAUUUUCUACUAUCAAACUCUGGAGUGCUCAUUAAUUCACAGCAUCAUCUGACACUUAGGAACACAACAUAACACAUGGUCUGCUGUGGGGAAACACAGCCUUGUGUUACAUCCCACAGACAAGAUGAGCAAUUAAAGUGUAAAUGCCAAGAUU